GCUGCUCCGCGAGCCUCCCGGGGCAUCCCAUCAUCAUAUUCUUUUUAAAGAACAAUAUUUGGUGCCGCGGACUCUAGAGAUUCACCUGCCAAGGGCCAGGGUCCCAGCUUCACCUUUUGUCCGGGACUCUGAGCUCCAAUUUCCGGGAUUGAAUCAGGACCGAGGGCCUUCCUCAACACCGCCAACUGCCUGGACUCAUUCCUACAAACAACACCGGCUUCUAAUUUGCAAGCUCCAGGUGUGAGCUUCAGAGAUGAACUGGAACUUCCUCCCGAACCAGAAGUGGGGAUGGAGGGUUGUUUUUAUUCUCAAGGAAUGAAUUCUCCACGAUUCUGUCUCUUCCCCGGGCCAGUGAUGCAUCAAGGCGAGGAGGAGGGUUUAUGUGGUUUCUCCAGACACCGGCUAUGGAGACCUAGAAGCAAUCACAGCGAAAACGGAAUCUGCUUUUUAUCACAAGCAUACGCUGCAAUUUGUAAGUCGUAUCCGUCAUGAUACUCACUGGAAGAAAAAAAUCAAGACACACAGUUUUCUCAGAGUCGUGAGGUCUCCUCCAGGAAGUGUCUCAGUGCAGCGCAUGGAAAUACUGCUUCUGACUGCACACUGUGCUCCUUUCACAGGGAGCUGGGAACUCAGUCAUGUGUAGGGUCCCCAGCCUUCUAGGGUAUGGGACAACCUAGAUUCUGUGAACUGUUUUCUCAUUGUCCUGUGCCUGUCUCUUCUCUGGAGUGGCUGUUUCUACCUCUUUCUCAACUCUCUUAAACAACCUCCCACCGCCUUCCCUGGAGUGGGGGUGGGGGUCCUAGUAUCCUGGAAGAAGAUGCUCGAAGUCACCUUGUUUUCCUGACUCACUGGUCUCUUUUCACUGCUGUCAACCUGAGCCUGGCCAGAGGCACAGAGGUGUCUGGACCAGCCAUUCUCAGGGUUUUUCCUUUUAUGAAUCAAUGUUGUGGAACACAGUCCUCCUGGUAUAGCACGGGUAUUCGCCCCUUAAUCAGAACAUUUUGACCACCUGCACAGACAGUAACAAGACUGGGCUCGCUGACAUUCACACCCAGGAUUGGGUGUGGAGGAGGGUCAUUAGACCCUCCACUUCUGAUUAUAGCCACUCCCUCCUGCAAACCGCACUCCCAGCUCUAACAAAGUCAAGGGAGUAUAUGGGACAGAAGGCUAGUGGGGGCAGACUCCAUCUGUGCGGCUUUCAGGAGGUCAUUAGCGAUGCCAAGGGGGACUUCCCGGUGGUGCAUCUGUUUGGGAAUUACCUAUGCUCCCCUAAGUCCAGUAAAGUCACUGGACUAGAUGGGUGGGUCCUUUGGUUCAUGUUAGGAGUCUUCCUAACAUGAGAUCUCUGCCGAUGCAAAAAUCCCAAUCAAGCCAAAUCACAACAAGCCAAAUUAAAAAAUAUCCAGGUUUAAUGGGAUUCCUGCGGGGGACCUGCGGGAGAACCAGGAAGCUGCGAAUGCAACCAUGGUGGGGUGGGGGGAAGAGACCAUGAGGGAACUUUCUGGGAAAGCAAUUUAAAUAGACUGGGGGAGUGGUCAAGAUUUUGGCAGGCUGUCUUGACCCUACUCCGGGGAGGGGUCAAGGUUUGGUGGGCACAGGGAUGGACCCUCCAAAGAUGGAGGCCAGAGACCGGGACUUAGAGUCCAUUGCUGCUGUCCUAUCUGCAAUGAACGGACAUUAUUCUUGUCUUCCUUAGAAAAACUAAAACAGCACUUGGUACCCAGACAGACAGAGACAGGACAAAAGCAAGGCUGAGUUUUGGAGGAGCAGCUGCAGGGGCCUUGCUGUAGGGUGAUACACCAUGCAACCGAAGCUAAGCUGUCUGAGGGUGGCACAGUGCCAGGGGCAAGUCCUGCAGUGGCUCCCUCCAUGAGGGGUAGAAUAGCAUGUGUCCUUGUUGCAGGUUGCAUUUGCAUUGUUUCUACUGUGGGUGAUAAGGCAUGCAAAGGAGACUGAGUUGUCUGCCCAGAGGGAAAGCAAGCAUGGAAAAUUCAUGAGGAAAAUCUUGGUGGUGCCAUCUUCCUGAAUGUGUUAUGGCAUGGCAUUCAUUCUUGAUGUGGUCCAGCAGGGGUGUGUAGGGAGAUCUCAGGAGUGGCUGGUGGAAGGGAAAACGUUGCGGAUCUUGAAAGUGGCAUGUAUAGGGUGUUUUAUAAGAGAACCAUGGGGAAGCUGCAUUGCCCUUGCUACGGAUGAUAAGUCAUGCAACUGAGGCCCAGCUCUUUGCCCAGGAAACUUCUCUGCUCAAGAACUAACAGUAACAUGAAAGACAUCAUCACGUUAGCCUCUCACCUGGUAGGUAAACAAUGAAGAAGAUGGUUUACCAUUUUUACAGCUGGGGAAGAUAAGGAAAAGAGACUGUAAACCAAACCUUUUGGAACCCAAAAGUUGGAGCUCAAUGGGAAGAACCGAAUAGAGAUGUGAAUGGGGAGACGUGGUGGUGAGGAUACCCAGGGGCUGGGCAGGACACAGGUGGUAUGUGGUGCCUGCCCAGUUCACCAGAUCAGAUAGGAGCAUGUUUGCCAGAGAGCUUAAGGAAGGUAAUUCAGCAGGGGCCUUAGGACUGCUAUAGCCCCAUAAUGGGUCAUGAUCUUUAUGAGGUAGGAGGGCCUCCGACAGAUCUGAAUGAUUUAUACUGGCAUAUAAACUGUGAUCACAAAAUAGAAAUAAUCCAGAGAGAGAGAAAAAAAAAGAAGAAGAAGAAAAAAAGAAAAAGCAGACACAGGAACAAGUGUGGGAAGGUUUGUGUUGAGAUGAAGUUUCUAGGUCAGAAAGAGACAGCUAAGUUCAGUGCUCGUAGUCUCUGAAGGCUUUUAGGUUGGAGCAAUGGUUCACAAAGAGGUAAAGGGAAGAGUAACCGAGAGCAGAGCAAAUGAAAAUGAUUAAGCUUAACCCAGCAGGGACAAUCAGGCCCUCAGAGUGUGCUAUGUACAUUCUUUCUGGCCACAAAGUGCUGUGGGGUGGAGACUGUUUGCCCGGCCAGGCCCUUUCGACAGCCAGGUGUGGAUAAUGGAGCAGCAGCAGCCUCCCAUGCUGCCCAGAGCCUGUCAGCCCCAGGGACUGGUCGGCACCGCAGGUGAGGCAUAGCCCUGCUCUUCCUUGGCAUCAGAUCAAGCGAAUUAGUGUGUGCGAGACCCACCAAGCUCCUGGGUAGUACCCCUUGGUAGCACCCCAAGAAGAAAUGGGAUGGCUCGUGAAUAAGACUAGAGGACAGGGAUCAAACAGGUUAUACCCUCCCACCCAUGCCAUGGUGUCCAACAUUGCAAUUUCUACAGAUGUUUGGGAUCUUUUCAUGUUGUUUUGGACUUUACUUGCCAUUUUUUUUUUUUUGGUUUUGAGACAUGUCAUGGGUCCCAGUCUGGUCUCUAACUAGCUAAGGAUGACCUUGAACUUUUGAUUAUUCUGCCUCUCCCUUCUGAGAGCUGGAAUUACAGGAGUGUA